CUCCUUUUCCCUAGAGAUCUGCGGUGUGUGAGUGUGUGUGUGUGUGUGUGUGUGUGUGUGUGCGCGCGCGCGCACCGCGCCUACCCCUCUCCGAGGCUCUGGUGGGAAUGACUCAGCAACACAGCCAAGCCUGCUCCAUUCUGCCAGCUCCAUGCAUCUGCCACCCGUCCUCGGCCUUGUCCUGCUUCUUAUCCCUGCAGCACCCACACAGCUGGCCCACAGGCCUGACUCCCUGAUGCCAGUCACAAAGCCGGAAGCCAUCCUGGGGUGGGGCUGCCUCAGACCCUCCCUCAGCUCUCACCCUGGCCCCUUCCAGCUGCUUCUCUAUGCAUGGGGAUCCUCACAGGACCUCGUUCACCACUGCCCAGUGAGGACGCACUCUGACUGUCCUCAUCCACAGAUUCAGAAAAGGAGCACCACCAGGCCACCCCCCAUUUGUGCCCUCUACUGAGGGAUAGGUCUGUCCCCAGGGCUAAAGUUACCAGCACGGACACUCACUAAAGGACUGCAGCAGCAGCAAUGAAGAGAAACAGCUAGAAACAACCUGUGCUCAUCCGGAAAGAUGCUUCCUGUAAAUCACUGUGCAUCUGCAGGGCAGGACCCCCAGCAGCCACUGGAGAGGCUAGGCGCUGUCUGUGCACAUUGAGGGCAUCAAGGUAAGAGAUUCACGGAGAUUCAAGUACCAGUUUGGACUCCCAGGAAUGGGCACCUAAACCCCAAGUCAUCUUGUAUUCUACCAGAGCCUCUGCAAAACUGACACUUCUGCCCUCCAAAGCAGGAACUUCCUAUCUCAUAGAGAUGGGGUUGUCUUCUCAAGCUAUAAAAGCCCUGGAGCUGUGAAACUGGAGCUGAGAGAAUGAUCGACCAGACCCUAGCCCACCACAGCAACCCCUUAAGACCUGGUGCCUUUUCCUUUGUUAAGGGGCCAGUCUGAUUUUCCAGGGCUGUCCCCCUUCAGUCCCUCCUUAUUUUCUCUUCCUUUCCAGUUAAAGCUUUGCCCGAAGAUUCAUGCUAUUGCCUCAGUUUUAAUUUCCAUUAUCUCUAAGCAAGGACCCAGGCUAGCCAGGGACAAGCAGACCCGGUCUAGGUGAUGGGAGGAGGUAUUGGCAAUGUUGUCCCUGAAGAGGGAAAUAGACAUUGGCCAUGGGGACAGGAAGAAGACACUGCACUCAUGGCACCUUUGUGUGGUUCAAAUCUCAGAUGGUGCCUUCUGGAAAUGAGAAUCAAUUGCUUAAAAACCAUAAUAUACUACAUAAAGAAAACACCGUGGUUAUCUGACUUCAGAGUUCAGACUCCAAACCCUGAGAGAGGACAGCCUAGCAGACUCUGGACUAGGGAAUUGGACUCGAGUUUUAACUAGGCAAAGAGCCACCUGGAAUAAAGACUUAUCUCCUAAUCAUCUUUGCAUGUAGAUUUGCUCACGUGACUAUGUCCCAGCAAAUGGGAGCCAAAUGGAAGUAUGAGUAAGUUCCAAAGAGUGCCCUAGGGGACAGAGAUAUGCCUUUGCUCAUGCCUUCUUUCCCCCAUUCUGCUGAUGAGAUGGUGACUUGAUGGCUAGCCACUGAGCAGCCUGGGUUUGUUUUUCUUUUGGUACCAGGGAUCGAACUUGGGUCCUUGCACUUGCGCAGCAGGAGGCGAAACCACUGAGCUAAAUCCCUGGCCCUGAGCAGCCUGUUUGGACCAUGAAUUGAAAGGUACAUACUAGAGAAUGGUAGGUAAAUUAUAUACAAGGGGGCUGAGUCCUAAUAUCAUGAAGGACCAGCCCUGUGCUGCUGCUUCAACAUGAGAACAAGAAGGACAACUGAGGUUUCAGGGAACAGGGAGCUAGGGAGAGCCUGGGUCCCUCUUGACAAUGUAGAGUGGCCAUAUUAACUCUGGGGCUUCCAUUACAUGAGAGGAGACACAUACUAUCUUAGGCAAGCCACUAUCUCCUUAGGUAUCCUGUCCCUUCCCAGCCAUCGAACCCCAAGUGAAAGCCAUGAGCCAGCUCCUCCAGGAUGAGGGUAGGGGAGAGCCUGCUAAGCUUUUCCCCCUCCCUGUCCUUGGGGAGUGCUCAGUCAGGAAGGGGCCUAGGAGCUAGGAAGGGGGAGGCAAAGCCUCUUUUCCUCCAGUCCCAGAGGAAUGGGAUGAGUGUGAUCCUGAAAUGAGAUGCAGGGCUUGGGUGUAGUUCAGAGGCAGAAUGUGUGCUUAGCCUGCUGAAAGUCCCAGGUUCCAUCCCUAGAAGCAAAAAAACAAAACAAACAAAACAGCAACCAUGUUAACUACUCUGGCCCCGGGGGAUUACAGGUAAUUUGAGGGUAGAGACCAGCACAAUGCAUAGCAUACAGUAGGUGCUCAAUAAACCUUUGCGGGCUAAUUAUGUGAUAUCCUGUAACCAGCACUCCCUCCACAGUGCAGCUCAGCCUCUCAGACCAACUGUGCAGCUCUGAGUUUUCUCAGUGGAGGAUGUCCCUCUGGGACAAGGUGAUUCAAAGCUUGCGACACAUGGUCAUGCUCAGGGUAGCACUGGCUCCUCACAACUCCAACAACAGGGGCUAUGACUGCAAUCUUCAGAGGAGAAAGCAAGGACCCGGAACUUGGAAACUGCUUGCUCAGGAUCAGCCACGAGGAAGUGCAGGAGCAGGAACUUGAACCCCGGGUUUUGAAUGAAAAACUUCACCUACCUGAAACAAAGGCUGCACAUGAGAUUCUUACACAAAGGCACCCUUUUCCCAACUGCUCAUCCCAACACGGAGGCCCUGGGUCAGGUUUGUGACGUCCUGAGGUGCUGAAGGGGUGGGACAAGGGAGGGGAAAGCUGUCAGGCAAUCCCUCAGCAGCUUGGAGGUCUGGGAGACAGAUUCGACCAGCACUGGUGAUAGCCCAAACAGUGCAUUUGCACAAACAGAACAAGGAACAGAAACUCGAGUUGCUUUACUGCCAUCUACUGGAAAUUUGUCAUAAUAAUCAUUCAAAUUUGUGGUAAAUGGGGAAAAAAAAAGAAGCCUCCCUAGAAUCAUACAGUGUAGAACCUGAACAACAUGUGGAGCAGCCCUAGAUGCACCUUUUCUCACUUGAGAGCAUGAAAAAAAAAAAAAAAAAAGACCCAUCACCAUGGAGGCUCCAGUCCUGUCUGCUUCCUUCUUGCAUGAGAGUCCCUGGCUCAUCCAGAGGUGCUACAGCCAUCUGCCUGCCCUAGUUUCACCAUGAGACCCAGUAGAAUCCAUGCAUCCUUCCACCCACUCCAGGCACACAUCCCAGACACCUACGCUGGGCCAGGUACCUAUCUGAAUUUUUCACCAAUUACUAGCUGUGCGUACUUGGACAUUUUCUUAGGCUACUGUCUACUCUUCAGUAUGAAGGGAUAAUAACCCAGCUGGCACUGUGAAUGAGACUUAAGUGAGAUAAUAUAUGUAAAGUCCUAGAAGCCAGUGGCUGACCCUGGACCUACUGCCAGCACCAUUAGAUCUGAGUUACACACAUGCAUGCAUGGGUGGCCAAAGGGAAGACAGGCUCUGGCACAUCUUCCCUCAGAAACAAUCAGGAAACUGUGGCACAAAUGCAUGAAUAUAAAGUUCUCAGUGUGAAGCUGAGCCCAGAGCACAGUGAGUGCCUGGGCACUGGCUUUUCUCCUUUUCCUCUAGUCCUGGCUGGAUCUGAAGCUGGCUAGGUGAGUUCAGGGUCCCUUUGAUUCCCAGGGAGAGAGAACAGUUGCAAGUUUCCUUUACCUGCAGGAAGAGGCUUCCAGACUACUGUGUGGCCAAGCCUCUGGACACCUCCAUUUCUGGCUCAAAGCAAGGCCACAGACCCAUAGAGUUUUAGUUUCUUCAUCCAUGAAAUGAAGCCAGUCAUAUUUACUUUGUAGCCAUUUAGGUAAUGCAAGAAGUAACUAAAAGGCCUCCAACCAUGCUGGAAACAAGCUAAACACAAAAUAAAUUAGAGAUGCAAUCUCAGCUCUGGGACCCAGGGGGCGUCUGGAGCCAGCUGAAGGAUUCUAUUCUCUGCCAUCAAACUGCCUACCACAAUUGGCAUGAGCACUUGAAAUUGCAGGUCCUAAAACUGAUGAGGAGGCAGGAUUGAGCUCACUCCAUCUCGCUCCUCCUAUGGGAGGGAAGUUGGUACACACUUUCCAGUGGGUAGGUAGGCAACAGGAUCCUUUUGACCCAGCCAUUUCAUUUCUAGGAAUUCAGCUAAGGAAAUAGUCACAGGCCCCUCAGAGUGUUGUGCUAGGACAUUCAUUGCAAUGUUGCUAAUAAUAGUGAGAAACUGGAAAUAAUCUAAAGUUAGAGACACAUUCAAUACACAUCUUGGCUGGAUGCCAAAUGGUCAAGUGCUAAGAUCAGUACUCAGCAGAAGCCAAGGCCAACGCUUUCCACCAUCUUCAUGCAGCCAGUGUCUUUGGUAAAGGAGUGAAUUUCAAGAAAAUGUUAUCAGACUUUGCAGUGCCAACAUCCUAAUCGACAUGUUUCACUGCCAGUGUUUGACAGUCUAACGUUACAGCUCAAGAACAGCAUUUUCUCAGUAUUAGCAGAAGAUGGAUUGUUUCUAUGUUAAAUACUGUGCACAUUUGUGUUAAUAAAUUGAUGCUUACAUUGACUGAUGCUUGUGGGAGAGUGUGACGGCCUCAUUUUUUCCCAAUACUUUCUUCUUUUCUCCAUAUUCUGUAUAUUCUUUCCCAUGUUGGGUUAAAUAUGAUUUGCCACAGAAAUAUUGAUCAAAAACUAUAGUCAAUGUUUAAAUAAAAAAUUAUUACAGAAAAGACACAUUGUCAUUAGUCCCCCUCACUUUGAACACACUUAUUCUAUUAUUCUUGCCACUUUCUGAAGCAGUUCUAGAAGUCUUCUUUUGUGAGUGUUUUUUUGUGUGUGAGUGCGUGUGUGUGCCUGCCUCAAUGUCCUGAACUAAUUAAAAAUGUUUACAGCAACUUCUGGCAAAUAAAAACAUUGCAGUGUGUCCUCAUCCACCUUACUUGUCAGAUCUAGCACCGUGAGGUUUCUGGUUCUUCCCCAAAGUCAAAAUGAUCAUGAAAGGUAAAUGUUUUGAACCAAUUCAAGAGAUUGAGGGACAGCCACAACAGUGCAAAUAAAGACACUCACAAAAGAAGACUUUCAGAACUGCUUCAGACAGUGGCAAAAAUGAUGGGAGAAGUGUGUUCCAAAGAGGAGGAGUAUUCUGAGGGGAAUUAAUGG
ensembl:lncRNA